rnacentral:rRNA from 1 species
GAGUUUGAUCGUGGCUCAGAACGAACGCUGGCGGCAUGCCUAACACAUGCAAGUCGAACGAUCCCUUCGGGGAUAGUGGCGCACGGGUGCGUAACGCGUGGGAACCUGCCCUUAGGUUCGGAAUAACUCAGAGAAAUUUGAGCUAAUACCGGAUAAUGUCUUCGGACCAAAGAUUUAUCGCCUUUGGAUGGGCCCGCGUUGGAUUAGCUAGUUGGUGGGGUAAAGGCCUACCAAGGCGACGAUCCAUAGCUGGUCUUAGAGGAUGAUCAGCCACACUGGGACUGAGACACGGCCCAGACUCCUACGGGAGGCAGCAGUGGGGAAUAUUGGACAAUGGGCGCAAGCCUGAUCCAGCCAUGCCGCGUGAGUGAAGAAGGCCCUCGGGUUGUAAAGCUCCUUUGUCCGGAAAGAAAAGCGCCGGGUUAAUACCCUGGUGUCCUGACGGUACCGGAAGAAUAAGCACCGGCUAACUUCGUGCCAGCAGCCGCCGUAAU